GGGAGGCAGAAAAUGUCCGCUCUGAAGGGAAAACGGAGGCGACUUUUUUUUUUUUUUUAAAGCUAAUCUUUUACUUACUCCAUGCAUACUCACUGCAGGAGCUUUGUUCUCGCUUUCCCCUUCGUGUCAGGCUUUCUGAUGUUUGCUUCUAAAGAGGGGUUUUCAAAAGCAUGGUUUGUACAUUUGUAAAAUCUGGUCAAAGGUCAGAUUUCACGCUGCCUGCCCCUGUGACAAGUGCUGAAUAGGGAAGAAAUGUUUUAAAGUAGAAGCUGGAAAUACAGCUCCUCUAACAGCCAAGGCCAGUAGAAGGAGCUUCACCGGUAACUGAGUGGAAGAUCAUAAAUCACGGGCAGCGAGUCUGUAGGCCACAUCAUGCUGCGUGGAGAACCGCCCUAUGGAUGGAAGCAGGGUAGCCAUGGCUAACGCAGAGGGCAAGCCAGUUAGCCCCCUUGAGGUCCAAGAAAAUCAAUCAUCGUAGUUUCACAUUGGUGUAUGCAUACCAACUGUGGCAGCCUGGCUAAUUCCUCAUUGUGUUAUUAUAGUUGCUCUGUCUGUGAGUUCUCUCCUGCGCCAGCACCAAUACUGAUGCGGUUGCACAGUCUGGCUUGCUAUGCAACUUCACAGGCCCACGGGGGCACCAGACCCCUCUUUUUACUGGGUACGUGUGCUUAUGGUGCUUUCAAAAGAGGGUACAAAUGUGUCAUGCUGUAAUCCACUGAAUAAGGGCUUUAUUCAAAGACAGACAGAAAAAAAGGAUAGAGGUUCUUAGUGUAGAUACAUUAUUGAGGAUCCUAAAUUGCUUAGAGGCCAAAAUAAAUAUUCAUAUAAAAUAUCAUGGCAAGGUGGAGAAAACAAUCAGAACUUAUUAACUAGACCUUAUAAAUACAAUGUAGAGAAGAGAUUUGUAGUGUCAUCAGUGUGUGCAGUGCAUGAGCCUCAAGGAGAACAUUAGGUACUUAAAUGUUUAUCUGGAUAUAGCAGUAGCAAUUGCACCAUUUUCCUCAAGAACCAAGAACUCCUGCCCACAGAAGUAAUUGAAGCUGGGAGAAGCUCUUGGAGUGGCGCAAAGAAAUGAGAGUGCGAGGAAGGAGCCUUCAGCUCAAAUUAGGACAAGGGCAUUCCUGAGGAGAGAAGGAUGCUUGCAUGCAUCAGGGAGCAGAUAUUAAAGUAAAGCUUCAGAAAUACUAAAGAGAAAGAGAUUUUCUUGAGUGACUUGGAAAGAACAAGAUGAAAAUGGUUCAACUUGGGAAGCAGCAGAAAGUUCCUGGGUUAAAAACCAAGACUGAAGGAAAGGAUCCACUCUGCAAAGACAUGGUGAAGAAAGUAGGGAUUUGGUUUUGGCCCUUCUACUCCAGUGCAGAUCUGAUCACGCCGUUCCCAGCUCUCACACCUGUGGAAAUCUCACUGUAUUUCAGCCAGAGAGGCUCUUUCAUCUUGUCUCUCUGACCACCUGCCAUAAUCAGAAACAGGGUAAGAUACAAUUACAGAUGCUGUGACAGCAUUUCUUGACAUGUGACUGGAAGACAAAGGAGAAAAGUUUAAAACUUCAGAGACAUGUGUGAUUUCCACAGCAGAUAUUCAAACAGAGAAGCAAGAUGCCCCAGAAACAAAAGUAUAUUUGCAGGGAAAUAUACUUUAACUGCCAGUAGGUGAUGCUGCCUCCCUCAAGAUAAGAAAUGAAAUCCUUUCCAUCACCACUGGUUGUGCUGUAAUUUCAUGGGCUCUCAUCAUAACCCUGUUCCUGUGUUUUACAAACCAAUAAUGAGAACUAGAUGGCAAAGAACAAGAGAUUAAACCCAGCAAGGCAGAUGCCAGUUUUCCAGCUGGCUGAAAUUAAGCCAGUAAGUCAUCCAAAGGCAAAAGUGAGUGUAAUGAGGCCAGCCGUCUGAUUAUAAAGCCAGAGCUUCAUGCUGAAGGCUCUCAUCAGUCCUGGAGGCUAAGUUAUCAGACAGCUAUUUACUAAGCUAGAAGGCAUUCCAUAAAAAAGGCCAAAUCCAUCAUUUAAAGGGCGAUGACAUUGGUCAUCGUGGAUUUCACAGUAAGCACCUUGAUGGUGUGUAUCGGGUUUGUGUGGCAAAGUUUUGGUAGCGGGGGGGGCUACAGGGGUGGCUUCUGUGAGAAGCUGCCAGAAGCUUCCCCUGUGUCUGACAGAGCCAAUGCCAGCCGGCUCCAAGACGGACCCGCCCCUGGCCAAGGCCGAGCCCAUCAGCGCCUCUGUGAUAACAUAUUUAAGAAGGGGAAAAAAACCAGUUAGGGAGAGCUUUUGCAGCCGGAGAGAGGAGUGAGAAGAUGUAAGAAACUCUGCAGACACCCAGGUCAGUGCAGAAGGAGGGGCAGGAGGUGCUCCAGGCGCCGGAGCAGAGAUCCCCCUGCAGCCCGUGGUGAAGGCCAUGGUGAAGCAGGCUGUCCCCCUGCAGCCCAUGGAGGAAGGAUGAGGGGGUGUAGAGAUUCCACCUGCAGCCCGUGGAGGACCCCACGCCGGAGCAGGUGGAGGCACCUGAAGGAGGCUGUGG